rnacentral:rRNA from 1 species
GACAGAGGUUGCAAACGUUGUUCGGAAUCACUGGGCAUAAAGCGCACGUAGGCGGUCUGUUAAGUCAGGUGUGAAAGCCCCCGGCUCAACCGGGGAAUUGCAUUUGAUACUGGCAGGCUCGAGAACGGUAGGGGUGAGUGGAACUCCAGGUGGAGCGGUGAAAUGCGUAGAGAUGUGGAGGAACACCAGUGGCGAAGGCGACUCUUUGGUCUGUAACUGACGCUGAGGCGCGAAAGCGUGGGGAGCAAACAGG